CCUACGGGAGACAGCAGUGGGGAAUAUUGCGCAAUGGGCGAAAGCCUGACGCAGCGACGCCGCGUGAGGGAUGAAGGUCUUCGGAUCGUAAACCUCUGUCAGCAGGGAAGAACGGUCACUGUGCUAAUCAGCAGUGAAUUGACGGUACCUGCAAAGGAAGCACCGGCUAACUCCGUGCCAGCAGCCGCGGUAAUACGGAGGGUGCGAGCGUUAAUCGGAAUUACUGGGCGUAAAGCGCUCGUAGGCGGUAUGUCAAGUCAAGGGUGAAAUCCCCGCGCUCAACGUGGGAACUGCCUUUGAAACUGGCAAACUGGGGUGUGUGAGAGGAUAGUGGAAUUCCAGGUGUAGGAGUGAAAUCCGUAGAUAUCUGGAGGAACAUCAGUGGCGAAGGCGACUAUCUGGCACAUAACUGACGCUGAGGAGCGAAAGCGUGGGUAGCAAACAGGAUUAGAUACCCGGGUAGUC
rnacentral:rRNA from 1 species